AUGCCAUCACCUACAUGUGCACGCAGGCCGCCAUUGGUGCGUGGAUGGUCUACAAGUCCAUAUCCAAGUCGAAGUUGUGGAUGCUCAUGGACAUGGGGGGCAUGUGCUGGGAGGCAGAGAUGGGGCACAUGCCGCGACACCCCAAACAUAUUCAGCAUGAGCACCUAUGGGGACGAUGAUGCCAUGCACCUCGUCAUGGAGCUAUGUGAGGGCGGCGAGCUCUUCAACAAGAUCGUCACGCUGGCAGCCCCAAACCACUCUACUUUCCAGUGGCACCGACGACCACAACAGGAUGGAUCCAACUGCCAAGACUCAGAAGGCGGUCGACGUCGGCGGCCUGCUCCCAAGUUGCAGGUUCGGCAUUAUGGUCAACCAAUGGCUUGCCAGCUUGCUAAUUGGAGUCUUCUGAUUGUUGGUCACAUUUAG
rnacentral:rRNA from 1 species